rnacentral:ncRNA from 1 species
CAGAGUAAAUAUAUGUGCGUUAAGUGUCAUGUGAACGGGGAGUUGUCACAUGAACGAAAAGGUUUCUUGCGGUACAUAUAUUGCAUCCCGCUGC